UAUGCGUUAACCGAAAAGCUUUAAUAGAGUAGGUA
rfam:Paludibacter jiangxiensis DNA, scaffold: PJIAN_4, strain: NM7.